rnacentral:rRNA from 1 species
UGGCUGCCCAAGUCCACCGUUCAAUACCAGGGCUCAACCCUGGGGCAGCGGUGGAAACUGGCUGGCUAGAGUGCGGUAGGGGCAGGGGGAAUUCCCGGUGUAGCGGUGAAAUGCGUAGAUCUCGGGAAGAACAACGAUGGCGAAGGCGCCCUGCUGGGCCGUGUUGCUUUGCAACAGACUGACACUGAGGGACGAGAGCUAGGGGAGCAAAUGGGAUUAGAUACCCUUGU